AUUGAACGCUGGCGGAAUGCUUUACACAUGCAAGUCGAACGGCAGCACGGGGCAACCUGGUGGCGAGUGGCGAACGGGUGAGUAAUACAUCGGAACGUGCCCAAUCGUGGGGAUAACGUAGCGAAAGUUACGCUAAUACCGCAUACGAUCUACGGAUGAAAGCGGGGGAUCGCAAGACCUCGCGCGAAUGGAGCGGCCGAUGUCAGAUUAGGUAGUUGGUGGGGUAAAGGCUCACCAAGCCAACGAUCUGUAGCUGGUCUGAGAGGACGACCAGCCACACUGGAACUGAGACACGGUCCAGACUCCUACGGGAGGCAGCAGUGGGGAAUUUUGGACAAUGGGCGCAAGCCUGAUCCAGCCAUUCCGCGUGCAGGAUG
rnacentral:rRNA from 1 species